GAUGAAGAACGUAGCGAAAUGCGAUAAGUAAUGUGAAUUGCAGAAUUCAGUGAAUCAUCGAAUCUUUGAACGCACAUUGCGCCCGCCAGUAUUCUGGCGGGCAUGCCUAUUCGAGCGUCAUUACAACCCUCAGGCCCCCGGGCCUGGCGUUGGGGAUCGGCGGAAGCCCCCUGCGGGCACAACGCCGUCCCCCAAAUACAGUGGCGGUUCCGCCGCAGCUUCCAUUGCGUAGUAGCUAACACCUCGCAACUGGAGAGCGGCGCGGCCACGCCGUAAACCACCCAACUUCUGAAUGUUGACCUCGAAUCAGGUAGGAAUACCCGCUGAACUUAAGCAUAUCAAUAAGCGGAGGA
rnacentral:misc_RNA from 1 species